CCCUUAGAUGUCCGGGGCCGCACGCGCGCUACACUGAAGGAAUCAGCGUGGCUUUCUCCCUGACCCGAAAGGGUUGGGAAACCCGUUGAAUCUCCUUCGUGAUAGGGAUUGGGGCUUGAAAUUGUUCCCCAUGAACGAGGAAUUCCCAGUAAGCGCGAGUCAUAAGCUCGCGUUGAUUACGUCCCUGCCCUUUGUACACACCGCCUGUCGCUACUACCGAUUGAAUGGCUUAGUGAGAUUUCCGGAUCGGCGUUGGGGAGCCGGCAACGGCACCCCUUGGCUGAGAAGUUACUCAAACUUGGUCAUUUAGAGGAAGUAAAAGUCAUAACA
rnacentral:rRNA from 1 species